AAAUGUCAUCUCUCCCAUACCACACAAACACACACACAAACUUUUAAAUCUUCUUCAUUCAGGUGGCCCAGUGUGUGCACUGCCAGGCCAGUGGAGCUCAAAUCAAGGAGGAGAAGCAUCACACACCAAUCACUUUUGAGGCUCCCAAGAGGAUCCUUACAGACCAGGGGAAGGAUUUUGUAAAUCAGAUCAACACUGAUUCCUUGGGAUAAAAAGAAGCCUUUGUGACCCUUAUCAUCCUCAAACCAAUGGUCUUGUUGAGAAAAUGAAUGGUACCAUACAAAGAGCUCUGAGAAAACUUGUUGGGCAGAGGCCUGACACAUGGGACCAGCAUCUAGAUGCUGUGAUGUUUGGUCUACGGACCAAAAAACAGUCAACCACUAAACUUUCACCAUUCUUUAUGGCCAAGAUGCCAAGAUGUUUGGCAGGGAAGCCAGAUACCCGUCCCAGGUCCCUGAGGAGUAUAUGGUAUUUUUUUGUUGCAAGUGAUUGCUUUGACUUUUUGAAAGAAUUUGUAUUGUAAUUAGUAUUUGAUGUGUAAUACGUUAUGAUAUUGUAUACAAUUUAUUAUUA